AUGCACACUCGUCCUACUACAUCACUUCUACUGUUAGCGAGUAGCUCAUGGUUCCUCCUCUGCCCUCUCUUCCUCGCUCCUGUGGGCGCCGAUCAGCGGGCCUCGUACAUUAUCCACAUGGACAAGUCCGCCAUGCCGCCGCAGCUCUCCGGCCACCGUGACUGGUACUCCACCGUGCUGUCGUCUCUAGCAGCGGCAGCCGACUCACCGGACGGCGCCCGUGGCGAGCAGCCACGGCUUGUCUACGCCUACGACGAGGCGCUCCACGGCUUCGCGGCCACCCUCUCGUCCUCGGAGCUCCGCGCGCUGAGCCACUCGCCGGGCUUCGUCUCGGCAUACCCGAUCGCUGCGCCGACGCCUCUCACGACACCACGCACUCCACGGAGUUCCUCCACCUCAGCCCGUUCGGUGGGCUGUGGCCGGCGGCCAAACUCGGCGAGGGCAUCAUCAUCGGUGUGA
rnacentral:rRNA from 1 species